AUUGAACGCUGGCGGCAUGCUUUACACAUGCAAGUCGAACGGUAACAGCACUUCGGUGGCUGACGAGUGGCGAACGGGUGAGUAAUACAUCGGAACGUGCCUAGUAGUGGGGGAUAACUACUCGAAAGAGUAGCUAAUACCGCAUGAGAUCUAAGGAUGAAAGCAGGGGACCUUCGGGCCUUUCGCUACUAGAGCGGCUGAUGGCAGAUUAGGUAGUUGGUGGGAUAAAAGCUUACCAAGCCGACGAUCUGUAGCUGGUCUGAGAGGACGACCAGCCACACUGGAACUGAGACACGGCCCAGACUCCUACGGGAGGCAGCAGUGGGGAAUUUUGGACAAUGGGCGCAAGCCUGAUCCAGCAAUGCCGCGUGCAGGAUGAAGGCCUUCGGGUUGUAAACUGCUUUUGUACGGAACGAAAAGCCCUCUUCUAAUACAGGAGGGUCAUGACGGUACCGUAAGAAUAAGCACCGGCUAACUACGUG
rnacentral:rRNA from 1 species